CAUUCAAAUGCUCAGAAGCGAAGCCGGUGAGGCAGCAGCGAGUUGAGCCUCACCUGGGAUUGAUCAACCUCUCACUAACUGCACUGGCUGCCAUUCUAUGGUAGCAUGCUCGUCCUGUCUGUGUGUCGCCAAUAAAAUGGUUAAAAAACAUUUAAUGUAUGAAAUGAUUUUUCAUAAAUUAGUUUAUGUAUAUAAUGUACAGUGUUUUUUUGUCACCAACUGUGUGUGUAACGUGUUUCAUGUGCUGAGGAGCGAUCAGAAACGGCAGAGAACAGAUUCGAGUUGAGGUAGGCAGUUCUCUUGUCUCAUGGCAGGGGGCGCUCAUAAUCCCAGACAUUGUGACUCCACAACUGCAGAGUAAGAGACAGUAACAGCGAGCCAGCCAUACAGUAAAGUCGAGUGCAGAGAUAUAUUUAUAGUUUUCUCCUCUUAUCACAGUGUAGGAGCCAUUUAUCCUUUCCUAUGUUUAUCGCCACCAGGGGGCGUAUUUCAUUUUGAGUUCUGAGUGUCUGAAGGGGGAUGGGGUUUUUAAGGUCAACCCUGAUUUUGCUCAGGUGUUAAUGGGAAGAGGCAACAGUUUUCUACUGUGCUUGGUUUGGAUUGAUGUCAAAUUUAUGUGGAUCUAAAUGGAAAUAGUAAGACAAUGAACAUUGUUCUGACAAUAAAUGCCUUUAGAAAAAUACUAAAUGUUGACUAAGAAAAUUGCCAAAAAUUUAAAAAGUUAAAAUGGAAUAAAAAUGAGUGUGCCUCACCUCCUGUGAUUAGUAGAAUAAUUUCAAAGUGAUUUUAAGUCGAUAGGUCACAUGACCCAGAAGCUAUUGAAGAAAAAUACAAACUUUUGACUAAAGAAAUUGAUCUAAAAUAUAAAAAGGGUUAAAAUCGACUAAAAAUGAGUGUGCCUCAUCUAUACGGACUCGAAAAAUUUCACACUGAUUUUGAGUUGAUAGGUUACAUGACCUAAAAGUUAUCGAAGAAAAAUACUAAAUUUUCACUAAAAAAAUUGACAAAAUUUUUUAAUGAGUUAAAAUGGAAUAAAAUUAGUGUGCCUCAUCUCCUCUGAUUAGUACAAUAAUUUCAAAGUGAUUUUGAGUCGAUAGGUCACAUGAACCAGAAGUUAUUGAAAAAAAUACUCAAUUUUGACAAAAAAAAUGUCAAAAAUAUACAUUUGAGUUAAUAUCAAAUAAAAAUGAGUGUGCCUCAUCUAUACGGACUCGUCGAACAAUUUCCCACUGAUUUUGAGUCAAUAGCUUACAUGACCUAGAAGCUAUUGAAGAUAAAUACUAAAUUUCGACAAGAAUUUUUUAUCAAAAAUAUAAAAAGGGUUUAAAUGAAAUAUAACUGAGUGUGCCUCAUCUAUACAGACUAGUAGACAAUUUCAAAGUGGUUUUGAGUCAAUAGGUCACAUGACCUAGAAGCUAUUGAAGAAAAAUAUUACAUUUUGA